AGAGUUUGAUCCUGGCUCAGGAUGAACGCUGGCGGCGUGCUUAACACAUGCAAGUCGAACGGUGAACACGGAGCUUGCUCUGUGGGAUCAGUGGCGAACGGGUGAGUAACACGUGAGCAACCUGCCCCUGACUCUGGGAUAAGCGCUGGAAACGGCGUCUAAUACUGGAUAUGUGACGUGACCGCAUGGUCUGCGUCUGGAAAGAAUUUCGGUUGGGGAUGGGCUCGCGGCCUAUCAGCUUGUUGGUGAGGUAAUGGCUCACCAAGGCGUCGACGGGUAGCCGGCCUGAGAGGGUGACCGGCCACACUGGGACUGAGACACGGCCCAGACUCCUACGGGAGGCAGCAGUGGGGAAUAUUGCACAAUGGGCGCAAGCCUGAUGCAGCAACGCCGCGUGAGGGACGACGGCCUUCGGGUUGUAAACCUCUUUUAGCAGGGAAGAAGCGAAAGUGACGGUACCUGCAGAAAAAGCGCCGGCUAACUACGUGCCAGCAGCCGCGGUAAUACGUAGAGCGCAAGCGUUAUCCGGAAUUAUUGGGCGUAAAGAGCUCGUAGGCGGUUUGUCGCGUCUGCUGUGAAAUCCGGAGGCUCAACCUCCGGCCUGCAGUGGGUACGGGCAGACUAGAGUGCGGUAGGGGAGAUUGGAAUUCCUGGUGUAGCGGUGGAAUGCGCAGAUAUCAGGAGGAACACCGAUGGCGAAGGCAGAUCUCUGGGCCGUAACUGACGCUGAGGAGCGAGAGGGUGGGGAGCAAACAGGCUUAGAUACCCUGGUAGUCCAA
rnacentral:rRNA from 1 species